rnacentral:rRNA from 1 species
GACGAACGCUGGCGGCGUGCUUAACACAUGCAAGUCGAACGGAAAGGCCCUGCUUUUGUGGGGUGCUCGAGUGGCGAACGGGUGAGUAACACGUGAGUAACCUGCCCUUGACUUUGGGAUAACUUCAGGAAACUGGGGCUAAUACCGGAUAGGAGCUCCUGCUGCAUGGUGGGGGUUGGAAAGUUUCGGCGGUUGGGGAUGGACUCGCGGCUUAUCAGCUUGUUGGUGGGGUAGUGGCUUACCAAGGCUUUGACGGGUAGCCGGCCUGAGAGGGUGACCGGCCACAUUGGGACUGAGAUACGGCCCAGACUCCUACGGGAGGCAGCAGUGGGGAAUAUUGCACAAUGGGCGGAAGCCUGUUGCAGCAACGCCGCGUGCGGGAUGACGGCCUUCGGGCUGUAAACCGCUUUCGCCUGUGACGAAGCGUGAGUGACGGUAAUGGGUAAAGAAGCACCGGCUAACUACGUG